rnacentral:rRNA from 1 species
GUAAGGAAUAUUGGGCAAUGGACGCAAGUCUGACCCAGCCAUGCCGCGUGAAGGAUGAAUGUCCUAUGGAUUGUAAACUUCUUUUAUGCAGGAAAAAUAUCCCGGUCGUGAACCGGGACUGAUGGUACUGUAUGAAUAAGCAUCGGCUAACUCCGUGCCAGCAGCCGCGGUAAUACGGAGGAUGCAAGCGUUAUCCGGAUUCAUUGGGUUUAAAGGGUGCGCAGGCGGAAUGAUAAGUCAGUGGUGAAAUCUCCCGGCUCAACCGGGAAACUGCCAUUGAUACUGCCAUUCUUGAGUACAGUUGAAGUGGGCGGAAUGUGUCAUGUAGCGGUGAAAUGCUUAGAUAUGACACAGAACACCGAUAGCGAAGGCAGCUCACUAAGCUGUAACUGACGCUCAUGCACGAAAGCGUGGGGAUCAAACAGGAUUAGAAACCCUAGUAGUCC